rnacentral:rRNA from 1 species
AAUCAUUAGCCUCUUAAUUAGAGGCUAGAAUGAACGGUUUAACAUUUCCUAAACUUUUUUAAAAAUUAUAAACAAAUUUAUAUUAAAUAUAAAAAUAUAUUUAUAUACUAACUAGACGACAAGA